rnacentral:rRNA from 1 species
UGGGGAAUUUUGGACAAUGGGGGAAACCCUGAUCCAGCCAUCCCGCGUGUGCGAUGAAGGCCUUCGGGUUGUAAAGCACUUUUGGCAGGAAAGAAACGUCGCGGGUUAAUACCCCGCGAAACUGACGGUACCUGCAGAAUAAGCACCGGCUAACUACGUGCCAGCAGCCGCGGUAAUACGUAGGGUGCAAGCGUUAAUCGGAAUUACUGGGCGUAAAGCGUGCGCAGGCGGUUCGGAAAGAAAGACGUGAAAUCCCAGAGCUUAACUUUGGAACUGCAUUUUUAACUACCGGGCUAGAGUGUGUCAGAGGGAGGUGGAAUUCCGCGUGUAGCAGUGAAAUGCGUAGAUAUGCGGAGGAACACCGAUGGCGAAGGCAGCCUCCUGGGAUAACACUGACGCUCAUGCACGAAAGCGUGGGGAGCAAACAGGAUUAGAUACCCUGGUAGUCCACGCCCUAAACGAUGUCAACUAGCUGUUGGGGCCUUUCGGGCCUUGGUAGCGCAGCUAACGCGUGAAGUUGACCGCCUGGGGAGUACGGUCGCAAGAUU